GACGAACGCUGGCGGCAUGCUUAACACAUGCAAGUCGAACGGGAAGGCCCUGCUUUUGUGGGGUGCUCGAGUGGCGAACGGGUGAGUAACACGUGAGUAACCUGCCCUUGACUUUGGGAUAACUUCAGGAAACUGGGGCUAAUCCCGGCUAGGAGCUCCUGCUGCAUGGUGGGGGUUGGAAAGUUUCGGCGGUUGGGGGUGGAAUCGCGCCUUAUCAGAUUGUUGGUGUGGUAGUGGCUGACCAAGGCCUUGACGGGUAGCCGGCCUGAGAGGGUGACCGGCCACAUUGGGACUGAGAUACGGCCCAGACUCCUACGGGAGGCAGCAGUGGGGAAUAUUGCACAAUGGGCGGAAGCCUGAUGCAGCAACGCCGCGUGCGGGAUGACGGCCUUCGGGUUGUAAACCGCUUUCGCCUGUGACGAAGCGUGAGUGACGGUAAUGGGUAAAGAAGCACCGGCUAACUACGUG
rnacentral:rRNA from 1 species